rnacentral:tRNA from 1 species
UGGCUCAGUUGGUAGAGCACUUGUUAGAGCAUGGUGUUUGCAACACCAGGGUUGUGGGUUCGAUUCCCAC